rnacentral:lncRNA from 1 species
UAAUAUUAUCAUUUAGAGAGUUGCAUUAUUUUGCUGCAAGAUAGCACCAUUCUCUGUUGCCUACAAAAUAAAUAUAAGUAAACAACGUUUCAACUCCGAUUUUUGUUAUAUGAAGCAACUUUAAUUUAUUUAGAAAAUAUAUUCAAUAUUAUACUGCGUUUUCGUUUGACAUCUAGUGUGUUGUCGGUCCUGAUUUAGGAACGACGUACGGUCCUAAGACUGGGCUGGACCGAAGAAAUAAGGACCGACACGAAACUUGUGACGUCCCAUACAAUUCUAGAGUGAAAAAAAAAAAAUUAUUUAAUAACCGUGAAUCUGCAAAAGCCAACAGUCGCGUUUCCUAACUUUUAAAGCUUUAUUAAUAUGCACGUAAAGACCUUGGAUUUUACGUGUAAAUGACCCUUAUUGUAUACAUUUUACAUUAACUUUACUUUUUCUCCACAAAUUGCUUUAUGCAGUUGUUUUUUAAAUAUACCUUUUAUGGUCAUGCAAUCUUGAAUUUGAGUCCUUGUAAUAACAUAAUGCAGAAGUGAAUCUAGAAGUGAACGGGUUUAUGAACAUAUUUUGAUAAUGAUUGUAUGCUUUUGCAGUUUAUAUAGAAGUGCAAUCUGCAUUUCUAUAGUCUGUAAAGUAACAAUUAUAUAUAUUGUCUAUCCCAUCAUAUUUAUUUGCCUAGAAAUAGUCAGAAAUACAAAAAAAUAACUCCCACUCAAAUGUCAUUUUGACAGAUUAAAAAAUAUCGUAAGUACAUCCUACAAGAGAGAAACUCAUUAUUUGAUCAUACGCACAUGAGUACGCUUGAGUUAGAUUAGUAAACAAACCUUUGCUUGGCCUUGGUGUAUGAAGGGGUCGAUAAAAAUCUUCAAAAGUUUGGAUUUGACUUUAUCAAAUAAGUUGAAAAGCUUGGACAUUAGACUUCCUAAUAAGAAAAUAGGUAUAUAUUUUCAAAACUGUAGGGAAGUAGUUGUACCAUUUUUGGAGCUGUGUCCAGGCUUUACGUAGCCACCGGAAAUGUCCCCACAUUAGGUUAAUAAUUACGUCAUGCUAUAAAAAAUUCUUAUUAAUAGUGUUUGUUGAUACCAGCUAAUUCCGUUCCAAGUAUCUUCCGAUUUGACCAAAAGGAGGGAAGUAGUGUAGUGUGUCCGUUCGAAUCCCGAAUGACUUUUUCUAAGCUCAAAUGCAUGAAAAUUUUCAAAAGUACAAGUUUUCAGAGAAUAAACAUAUUGAUUUUGCUUUUUAUAAACUGAAAGUAGCCACCAUGGGCCUCCACCAUGCCCUGGAUUAUAGACUUCAAGGCCUUGUAGAUCUUCUUCAUGUAGUCCUCCGACAUUCUAAUCCAUUCCUUCUCUACAGCAGUCUUUAGGUCAUCUGCAUGGGAGAUGACACAGGCCUUCCUCUCGAUGGUGCCCCAGAUUCGAUACUCAAGAGGGUUCGAGUAGCUGGAGGCCACAUUAACUUGGCCCUUAUUUUUUAUAUAAUACCGAAAUACAGUGGAAGUCCUUAAACUAUUCCUGGGUUAGGCAAUUCAGGCUGAGUCCGGAUUUUUGGGUUAAAAGAAUAAGAUUUUUUUUAAAACAAAACGGGCUAUUAUUUUG